rnacentral:lncRNA from 1 species
CGGUGAUGCAAAAUUUUCCACCAUAUAUAUAUAUAAAACUAGGUUAGAAUAUUAUUAAUAGCACUAAGUUAUUAGUGUUAUUAGAUUUUCGAUUCUUAAAUAAAAGAAUAUAUGGUUAGGAUGAUAGUGGUUCCUUUUAGGAUUUAGUGUGUAGUUGGUGAAAUAGUAUAAUCUAAGAGGUGAAAAUAAUUAAAAAAGUAGAUCUAACGGCGAAAAACUUAGUAGCACAAAAUGCUUGAUGCUAUUAAUAGCUUUGUAGCCGGACGCUAUAU